AGCGAACGCUGGCGGCAGGCCUAAUACAUGCAAGUCGAACGGCUCUUCGGAGCAGUGGCGGACGGGUGAGUAACACGUGGGAACGUGCCCUUUGGUACGGAACAACGUAGGGAAACUUCAGCUAAUACCGUAUGUGCCCCCAUUCAUAGCGGGAUGGGUGGGAAAGAUUUAUCGCCAUUGGAGCGGCCCGCGUUGGAUUAGCUAGUUGGUGGGGUAAAGGCCCACCAAGGCUACGAUCCAUAGCUGGUCUGAGAGGAUGAUCAGCCACACUGGGACUGAGACACGGCCCAGACUCCUACGGGAGGCAGCAGUAGGGAAUCUUGCGCAAUGGGCGAAAGCCUGACGCAGCCAUGCCGCGUGAAUGAUGAAGGUCUUAGGAUUGUAAAAUUCUUUCACCGGGGAAGAUAAUGACGGUACCCGGAGAAGAAGCCCCGGCUAACUUCGUGCCAGCCGCCGCCGUAA
rnacentral:rRNA from 1 species